GCACCUGUGUUGACCUUACCUGAGGGUACAGAUGAAUUCGUAGUUUACUGCGAUGCAUCACACACGGGCAUGGGGUGUGUGCUUAUGCAGAAGGGCAAGUCCUUUGAAAUACUGAAGCAGAAGCUAAGCAACGCACCUGUGUUGACCUUACCGGAGGGUACAGAUGAAUUCGUAGUUUACUGCGAUGCAUCACACACAGGCAUGGGGUGUGUGCUUAUGCAGAAGGGCAAGGUGAUUGCCUAUGCUUCAAGGCAAUUAAAGGUGCAUGAAAAGAAUUACACCACCCAUGAUUUGGAGUUGGGUGCCGUUGUAUUUGCACUUAAGUUGUGGAGGCACUACCUUUAUGGUAUUAAAUUUGUGAUUUAUUCUGAUCACAAAAGCCUCCAGCACCUGUUCAACCAGAAAGAGUUGAACAUGAGACAGCGCCGUUGGAUGGAAACCCUGAAUGAUUAUGACUGUGAAAUCAGGUACCAUCCCGGCAAGGCGAAUGUAGUCGCCGAUGCCUUGAGCAGGAAAGAAAGGGUAAAACCCAUUCGAAUCAAUGCCAAGAGCAUUGAGGUUAAGAAUAAUUUGAUGGAA
rnacentral:lncRNA from 1 species